UUAACUGAAGCCAUUUCCGAGCUGCCUGAGCUGCCCAGUACAACCUGACAUGCUACAUUUCAUCGAGGUCAAGAAGUCCCUCAUGCACUCCUGCGUCAUGAACAUGGCUAUGAACAUAGCCGAAGAGGCACUAACAAGGACUGGGCCUGGCCAAAACUGACUUUAUUCAUGAAUGUCUUCAAAAGCAUUGAGAUUUGUGAAAUGGGAUCCCUGGCUAUUGAGUUGAUGUUCUCUUAGAAUGAUACCCUGAUAAGGCAACACAUGUAUUCCAAAUUAAUGAGUGCAGCAUAUUUAU
rnacentral:lncRNA from 1 species